AACCUCUUCAUCGCGAAAAUCCGCCAUGGGUAAGGGUUUCCGAGCUCUCUCUUUCUCUCUUCAUCGCUCUAUGUUUCUUCUCUCUCUCUCGAUUUCUAGAUUGUGCGCUUACUGGUUUUGUUAGUCGAUCGGAGCUUUUCUUCUAUUUUGGUUGAAUCUCUGCCUCUUACUUUGUUAUCUUCGAUUAUUAAGCUGAUGGAUUCUUUACUCUGGUAGUUAAUCUUAAAUUGGAAGGAGGAUUAUCGGCUUUUGGAUUAGAAAUCGGAUUAGGGUUUAGCUGAUUUGUUUGUUUUAAUUGUGAGGGAUUGUGUAUUUAACUCUCAGAUAGUGAGGGAUUGUGUAUUUAGUGGAAUUCUUUGCUAAAUUUAUCUGGUUUAUCUAACUUUGCCAUAACUUUAAUUUUUUUUUUUGGACUUUGGUGAUUUCAGCUUCUGAGAAUCAUGAUGAAGUAAUGCUUCAUCCAGUCCAUAACCCAGCGAAAGGUGCAUAAUGACGAGAUGACGAGAAUUUCUUUGUGGAAAUUCAGGGACGAAAUCAUCAAUCUUGAUGAAGCGGUAAUGAUGGGGAACACAUCAAACGAAAUCCCAACACUAGAAUCAGCAUCAAUGGAGAUAAGGGUACUUCCCUUACCAAACAUGAUAGACAAACAAAUGUCAUCACUGUUAGAGGAAUGACCAUCACAAAAGAAGAAAAGAAGAGAUACCAUGGAAUCAUUGUCAAGCUGCUUCGUGGGUAUAUACUCGAUCAAGUCAGUGAACCGACGAUGGGAUGUUAUUAUAUGUGUAGUGGCUCUGAUAGCAAUAUUGUAAGAGUUUUAUAAAUCAUAGAUUGCAAGUGAUUUUAGAUGACUUUGAAUCUUUUUAACUUUUAAGUAAAUUCCAUGUUCAAUAACAUGAGAUUUGUGAAUGUUU